GUCAAAAUGGCUGCCCCCAUGGAUGAGAAAGAAGUAAUCAGCACAGGCAACUCUUCCGUGCAUAAUGAUAAAGAGAAGAACAGCAAAUACAAAGGCAUAAUCUGAUUGAAGAUCCCUAUUUGCUCCUUUGACAAUCAAUUUGUAUCCCUUAAGUAACUGAAAUUAUGUUUUUUACUGGUUUAACUGGAGUAUCUUUGAUAGGUGGCUUCAGUCUUGCUCUGGGAAGGACAAAAAAAGAAGACCCUGACAUGUUUGUUAAAGGAAUAUCAAAAGGUAGACAAAAUGUGUCAGGUUCAUCUUUAGGAGUAAGAGCUUUAGCAUUGGCAACACUGUUUUCAGUAUCUGGAGUUGGAUUGGUGUUUUUUGUAGCCUAUAAAGUAUCUGGUGCUUCAAAUCUAAAAGACUUUUUCAGCAAGGUAGAAAAGGGAACACCAAAAUUACCUAAAAAGGAAUCAACUGGGAGAAAUGAAUUUGGAAGUAUACAAGAACUUGUUGACUACAUUGUUCAAGGUGGAAAAGGAUAACAUUGUUUAUGAUACAAAGCAAAAGUCACUUAACAGAUGCCUCUAAUGAUGAAUAUUUGAACUUCCAGUACUUAUUCAUUCAUCAUGUAUGAUCAGAUUUAUCAUAGAUUUUUAGUAAGACAUCUGAAUCCUAUUGCUUUACCUGGUCAUAGCAACAAGAUUCCUACAGAAAUCAACUUUUUAGAGAGUGUUUCUGAAGUUUGUAAAAUAUACUGAAUAACACUGAUCUGCUGUUAUCAUGAAGUUGUAUGUUUUAUCGUUUUUUUUGUAUUGAUCAUAUUGGCUAAUAUGAUAUGUACACCAUGAAUGUAAUGGAGUCAGUAUGAAGCUAUAGACAUUCUGUUUAUUUUUCAAGUAUUUUGAAAGUAGUUUCAUCUUGUUAUGAAUCUAUAGACAUUCAUUUGAUACUCUUUUUUUUUAAAAGGAGGUGUGGUAUGAUCGCAAUGAGACAACUAUCCACCAAAGACCAAAGGACCAUGAUGUUAACAACUACACUCUAUGGCCUUCAACAAUGAGGAGAACCCAAUCCGUAUAGUAAGCUAUAAAAAGUCCCAAGAUAUUAAAUUGUGAAAUAAUUCAAAAGAAAAAGCCCAACUGUCUUAUUUAAACAAAACAAUUAUAGCAGACAGCAACCAACAACAACCACUGAACUACAUACUUCUGGCUUGGGACAGGCAUAAAAAGAAUGUGAGGAGUUGAACAUAGUUGUCCAAAAUAGUACAACAUAAGAACAAAAUAUAAAAUCAGUUGCAAAAAGGUGCCACUCAUCAAAUCAAAAACAACUAAUAAGAUGACAAAAGGAACACAAUGUUCUUAGUUCCUGUAUUUUCAAAGUUGCUUUCAUCUGGAUCUCUCUAGCAAUUAUAUUUUCCAUUAAGAUACAAAUGCCUUUUGUGUAACUUAGUUUGGGUUUAUUUGUCAGUUUAUUCUGUUGUUAUUUGUAAUUUUUUGAGAGAAUCUUGUAUUCAAGACAAAUGUUUGAUAUGUCAAAAUAUGCAGUACAGAGUUAGUGAUGAAGUAUUAAAACUUUAGGUGAAGCUAGUGCUGUACAGCAUUGCUAAUGGGUAACUCAAAAUGAUUAUUAUCAAAUAUGUGCAGACAAAAUGAAUCAAAGCUAAAUUUUUUUUAAUAGUUAGAACUUUUACAUGUAAGAUUUUUUUAUUCCUAUUGAUUUUUGUUGGUUUAAAAAAUCGUCAUUUCUUGUAUUUAAUGUUUAUUAAUUAUAAUUAAAAAACACAUAAGGUAUGACAAAAGAUAACCAAGAUUAUUUGCUCUGAUGAAUUUAGUAAUUAUUUGAUCUUUAUGAUUAGGUCACAAAUGAAAUCAAAUGACUUAUUUUCUUCUUCUUUAGAGAUCAGAUAUGAAUGAAUUUUUUUUCUAUAACCAUAGUAAUCGAGACAAUAAUUAACAGUAUUUGCAAUAAUGAAAUGUAAAACUUAUGUGUAAAAUAUUGAAUAUACAUAAACAUGUUUUUUCCAGUACAGGAUCUCAUAAAAUUAUUCAUUUAAUGGGCCAUCAUCAUUUAUUUCAUAGUGAUUACCCCCAAGUAUCACUUGUAGGAGUUUGGGACUACUGAUACUUGUUUUUCAUGAAAUUGACACCUUCGUUUGAGUUACAUUGAGACAUUUCAGUUAAUGAAACAUUUUUGAUGAUACAUAUACAAACUAACAGAGUAGGUAGUACCAGAUGUCCAAAAAGAAAAAAAACUUCUCCUGAUGAUGGACUUGUGGUAGUUCUGAUUUUUACUGAUUAAUUAUGAUGUGCUGUUUGACUGUAAACUGAUUGAGAUUGUAAAUCAUUAUUAUGUUUGAUGUGUUGUUUAACUGUAAACUGUGUUUGAGAUUGUAAAUCAUUAUUAUGUUUGAUGUGUUGUUUAACUGUAAACUGUGUUUGAGAUUGUAAAUCAUUAUUAUGUUUGAUGUGUUGUUUAACUGUAAACUGUGUUUGAGAUUGUAAAUCAUUAUUAUGUUUGAUGUGUUGUUUAACUGUAAACUGUGGUUGAGAUUGCAAAUCAUUAUUAUGCUGAGAUUCUUCAUGACAUUGUGAAAUAAAUAAAGAAGUGCUAAUCUCAA